AAAUAUCAUUUUCUCUCAUUUCCUUGGUUUCUAAUCCCUAGGUGAAUAAUGGAUGCUACUUAGACGCUACACAUCACGGAGGCAUAAUCAAAUGGAGAGGAUAUAGUCACCAGCCACUUGAUCAAAAGGAAGAACAGAAAAAGGAACCCUACCUGCAAAGGAGGCAAAGGAAUUUCUCUUGGCUCAACAUAAGCAGAAGCGCUAUGCGCUCUCACCUGAUUCUGCUGUUGUCCAUAAGGAACAUAAUGGACUUAGAAAGCAGCAAGUGUCCAAAAUUUUUGCUAUGGACAAAAUGUUAAUGAAUGUAAACCUCCCAGUGUGAAAGCUAAGGAGUCCACUGGAAGAGCUUUGCCGCACAUCUUUUAUCCUUCUCUGGAGACCAGCAGGCUCAUCAGGUGAUGGCAGAGAUACAAGAGAGCAGAUUCCACCUCACAAGCAAUCCUCUAAUCCCUGACUGCAUCGUGUCUAUGAACAUCCCAUUAGCCAAAGGAUAUCACAUGGCUGGGCCCAUAGUCAAAGGGUGGUUAAAAUGCAAGCAUUUCAACAAAGGUACUGUUCUCCGAGUUUCCAGCAGGGUCAAGGGAACAAACAAGGUACGUAAGACAUCCAGAGUCCAGCAAAGGUGAGAAGCGGUCACCGCCCCCAGGG